rnacentral:rRNA from 1 species
GCAAUCUGCCCUUCACUCUGGGACAAGCCCUGGAAACGGGGUCUAAUACCGGAUAACACUCUGUCCCGCAUGGGACGGGGUUAAAAGCUCCGGCGGUGAAGGAUGAGCCCGCGGCCUAUCAGCUUGUUGGUGGGGUAAUGGCCUACCAAGGCGACGACGGGUAGCCGGCCUGAGAGGGCGACCGGCCACACUGGGACUGAGACACGGCCCAGACUCCUACGGGAGGCAGCAGUGGGGAAUAUUGCACAAUGGGCGAAAGCCUGAUGCAGCGACGCCGCGUGAGGGAUGACGGCCUUCGGGUUGUAAACCUCUUUCAGCAGGGAAGAAGCGAAAGUGACGGUACCUGCAGAAGAAGCGCCGGCUAACUACGUGCCAGCAGCCGCGGUAAUACGUAGGGCGCAAGCGUUGUCCGGAAUUAUUGGGCGUAAAGAGCUCGUAGGCGGCUUGUCACGUCGGAUGUGAAAGCCCGGGGCUUAACCCCGGGUCUGCAUUCGAUACGGGCUAGCUAGAGUGUGGUAGGGGAGAUCGGAAUUCCUGGUGUAGCGGUGAAAUGCGCAGAUAUCAGGAGGAACACCGGUGGCGAAGGCGGAUCUCUGGGCCAUUACUGACGCUGAGG